UGGUGCCAUUAGUAUCAGCACUGUGGUUUUCUUUGCUGGUGUGGGGACAUUCUCCUGCUUUUCCCCACCUGAAUCUCCCAGCAUGCUGUGUUCCUUUUGCCUGAGAUUUUCAACAUUUUGCUCAUUCUUUUUCUCAGCUGGCGACGAUCCUAAAAACCACCGGCGCAUGGACGACCACAUUUCUGGCAGCAUCUUUAAUAAGAUAACCGGAUUUCCUCCUGUGGAAGCGUUGGUGUGAGAAACAGACACGUGUGGUGUCCAACUUUCCGUAAUUCUGCUGGUCUUGGUCAGUCCCACGCUAUCCACCUCCACAGCCGGCAAAAAGUGAUGGAGGUUGAAAGAAAAAAAAAGGCUGUACAAAAGCUGCAAGCUCACUGCAGCCUUACUGCAGCCUAUCAGAAUCAAGCACACUGCCAAGUCCAGCCUUGAAAGUGCCUACAGAACCAUCACUCUGUCAUUGUCAGGAUCUCCAUGGAAACCCCAGGCAAUAAGCAUGCAGGAGGAGAUUGGACUGAAGACAUUCACACACACACACACACACACACACAGACAGACA